UUCGCGUUCCGGAGCAGUAGUUUAACUGCCAACUGGCCGGAAGAAGACCCUCGGAUGGAUUUGCUCCUGGAAAUCACGGAAUCUACAACUGUUUUAAGAACCAAAAUGUACCUCUCAGUUAGCACGACCGGGACGAAUCGCUUGAACUUUUUAUCGUGUUUCGUUUGCCCCAAGUCAGAAGCAGAUUAGUUUGCAGGACCUGGAUCAGGUUCCCGUUGGCCCAAAGACUGCUGGUGGCUUUCCCGGAAAGUGAGAGAGUGUGUUCCGGUCGAACAAGCAGAAAGUUGUCGUCAGCGGCUGUUUGAGAUUCCGUGAUAACCUGGAGCAGAUCUUUCGCUAAAUGGCUGCUUUGAAAUUUGUGAGUAACGGAAAAGAGCCCAAACGGCAAGUUGGCCUCCGGCAGUGAUGGAUCUGCAUACGGAAUGUCCCAAAAUCUACAGUAUUUACGUCGGUUGUAGUGCUUUGCCCGUAUCCGCGUCGUUUAGAACCGGAUCGCGCCCCGACUCCAUCAAUUAACCGAUUUCGUGCAAUCACCCGAUACCCGGGAGGAACCAGCACAGACCUACAGCUUAGCACUCGAGAUAAAGUUAGAGCACCUGGUUCUGGAACAACUCUUAGCCACGAUUUUUGGUGAAAGCGGAUGUGAUUGAGUCUACGGCUCACCCACAUCGACGACCCGAGCACGCUGCACCGGUCAGCCUCUAUCCGGGUGGCCCCGCCGCCGAGGUCACCGAGCAUGAGAAGGACCUGUACAAUCAUUACCGAAAACAUAGUUGCCGCGGUGCAGGCCACAAAGACUUUGGCAAGUAAAGCAGCAACGAGUGCAUUUCGGCCACGCCACCUUCUCCUACUGCCUACGGGACUCGCGUCACGGGGAGUAACAUGCCAACGGCGGCACCGACGCCCAGUAGUAACCUGCAGCCCCGCGGACAUCCAGGACGACCAGAUAAGAACAAUCGACAACUGAUAGAAUCAAAAUUCCGUAGUGAACC